rnacentral:rRNA from 1 species
CAGCAGCCACGGUAAUACGUAGGGUGCAAGCGUUGUCCGGAUUUAUUGGGCGUAAAGCGUGCGUAGGCGGUUUGUUAAGUCUGUUGUGAAAUCCCCGGGCUCAACCUGGGAAUGGCAAUGGAUACUGGCAAGCUAGAGUGUGUCAGAGGAUGGUGGAAUUCCCGGUGUAGCGGUGAAAUGCGUAGAGAUCGGGAGGAACAUCAGUGGCGAAGGCGGCCAUCUGGGACAACACUGACGCUGAGGCACGAAAGCGUGGGGAGCAAACAGGAUUAGAUACCCGCGUAGUCCCUGUCUCUUAUAC